GACGAACGCUGGCGGCGUGCCUAAUACAUGCAAGUAGAACGCACAGUUUAUACCGUAGCUUGCUACACCAUAGACUGUGAGUUGCGAACGGGUGAGUAACGCGUAGGUAACCUGCCUGGUAGCGGGGGAUAACUAUUGGAAACGAUAGCUAAUACCGCAUAAUAUUAAUUAUUGCAUGAUAAUUAAUUGAAAGGUGCAAUUGCACCACUACCAGAUGGACCUGCGUUGUAUUAGCUAGUAGGUGAGGUAACGGCUCACCUAGGCGACGAUACAUAGCCGACCUGAGAGGGUGAUCGGCCACACUGGGACUGAGACACGGCCCAGACUCCUACGGGAGGCAGCAGUAGGGAAUCUUCGGCAAUGGACGAAAGUCUGACCGAGCAACGCCGCGUGAGUGAAGAAGGUUUUCGCAUCGUAAAGCUCUGUUGUAAGAGAAGAACGGGUGUGAGAGUGGAAAGUUCACACUGUGACGGUAGCUUACCAGAAAGGGACGGCUAACUACGUG
rnacentral:rRNA from 1 species